rnacentral:rRNA from 1 species
GACGAACGCUGGCGGCGUGCUUAACACAUGCAAGUCGAACGGAAAGGCCCUGCUUUUGUGGGGUGCUCGAGUGGCGAACGGGUGAGUAACACGUGAGUAACCUGCCCUUGACUUUGGGAUAACUUCAGGAAACUGGGGCUAAUACCGGAUAGGAGCUCCUGCUGCAUGGUGGGGGUUGGAAAGUUUCGGCGGUUGGGGAUGGACUCGCGGCUUAUCAGCUUGUUGGUGGGGUAGUGGCUUACCAAGGCUUUGACGGGUAGCCGGCCUGAGAGGGUGACCGGCCACAUUGGGACUGAGAUACGGCCCAGACUCCUACGGGAGGCAGCAGGGGGGAAUAUUGCACAAUGGGCGGAAGCCUAAGGCAGCAACGCCGCGUGCGGGAUGACGGCCUUCGGGUUGUAAACCGCUUUCGCCUGUGACGAAGCGUGAGUGACGGUAAUGGGUAAAGAAGCACCGGCUAACUACGUG